AUAUAUAUAUAUGUAUAGAGGUGUAAAGAGAAUCCAGGUCCACCUUCACCCCAAAAGAAAAAGGAGUGCCUAAACUUUAGGCGGCUCAGGUGUACUAUGAAAAAAAACCCCUUUUAUUCGAUCUGGGGAAGGAUAUCAACAUUUGGCUGAGUUUUGUCAGAUCCUCCCACAUGAAAAAAGCCUGAGGAUAUGGCUUUGUAUAUAAUACCAUAUACCAAAAUGCUUUGUUUGCCUGACUUCCCAGCAUUAUUACCCACCAUUUUUAUCUGCCUCAAAAACCCCCUCUGCUUUUUCCCUUUUUCCUUUUUUGUUUUAAAAAAAAAAAAAUUAUAGUUGGAUGUUACUAACAAGUUUCUCUUUGGACACCUGUUUACCCACUUUCUCAGCCUUGAUCUGACUUUCUCAGGUUAUUUUAAUUUGCUAUAAUAUUCUCUUCCGUUGUAUAGAGUACUAUACUCUCUUAAAGAUUAGGAUAUAUAUAUAUAUAUAUAUGUAUAUUGGAUAUCCUCAUCCAAUAUAUAUCCCAACCCAAGAUAUUGAUUUUCCAAUUUCAUCUUCUUUUGUCACAAAUAAUAAAUAUCCUAAUCUUUCAUUUCCUCUCUUCUUUCUUUCUCUUGAAUCCUAAGCUUUGCUAGAUAGGAUCAUAUAACCUGCUUGUUUAUUCUAGCCUCUCUCUCUGUCUUAUUUUUUUUGGGUGAUUAGUAUUUUUUCAAUCUGGAUUUAUUAGGAUGUGGGUUUCAUUUGGAUUUUUUCUUUUUUUUUGGGUCUUAUUUUUUCUCCUUUUCUUUUUACUUCAUGGGGGAGAUAGAUAUAUCUUCUUUUUAGGGUUAGGGUUCUUUUUAUUUGCUUUUGUUUUUGUUUUAUAUAUGGUUGAUUUGCAUGGGGAAGAUCUCAAAGCUGGCUAUUGAUCAGUCAGUAUUUUCGGAUGCGGCAUCAUCAGGAUUCACAUACUUUAUUAAGGAGAGCUUAAAUUGAGUAGUAGUGGAAAGAGGACGAUUUCUCUCUCUUUUGCUCGAAAGGUUCCUUUCAGAUGGGAAUCUUGAUGAUGCUGCAUCAGCAAAUAUAUGACUAUGUCUCCCUGUUACUUCUCACAUAAAUUCCAAAUAUAUAAACCCCAUAUAUAUAUAUAUAUAUAUAUAUAUUUUCAGUUUUUUGAAGAAGAAGAAAGGAGAAGAGGCAAAAGGCGCUACCAAUGUAAGGAUGUUUCAGCUUUGUCACUUUAAAAGGGAGUAAGGAUGUUUCAGCUUUGUCACUUUAAAAGGGAACUAUACAUUUCUUUUUUCUUUCUCAUCUCCAAAAGUUACUAUAAUAUGGUAUACUUUGUUUCCAAGUUUUGAUUUGCUAUUAUUUGUUGUUGGUCAAAUCUGAUAAUUGCAAAUAUUAAUUAACCAUGUUCUUUUUUAUCAAUUAACCUGAAAAAUCAAUUUAAUCGUAAUGCAAUAUUGUAUAUAUAUAUACAUGCUUGUAUCUCUAUUUCAGAGUUUUAAGGCUCUUUUCUUAUUUGGUAAAUUUUAGGCCAUGUUUGAAAGCUUCCAUCAAGAGAAGUGAUAAAAUCUUCUCAUUUCCCGAGGGAAUAUGCGUGCACGAGGGCCGGACGGACUAAUCUUUCAUAUUAUAUAUAUAUAUAUAUAUUAUCUUCUUUUUUUGAUGAAUACGUUUAGUAUGUAUACUGGUACUUGUAUUAAGGUUUUGAGUUUCAUUAAUUCCGGUUUACUUAGUAAUAACAAAGCAAUCCAUUAUUCAUGUACAUCCUUAUCUAGUUUACAGGUUCUUUUUUGAUCAGGGAAUAAAUUGAGGUCAUGCAUGUAAAACUAUGGGCUAUUGGUUAUGAAAAUACUGCCAAAAUUUUCCCAGGCUGGUAUGUUCACAGUUCAUCGCUAUUUAAAUAAUUCAUUUCGUACAUUAAUAUUAUAUAUAAAAGCAUAUUAAUAUUUGGAGCUCUGCUGUUUUGUUUGGUUCUUUUCUUUGCAAAAGACUUUAUUAAUAUGUAUAUAUGUACCCAAAUAUGUCAGGAAUCUGAUGUUUUAUGUUUUGCUCUAGAACUUAAAGUUUUCUUUAAGCUAGCUGUCUAUUAACAUUUAACAAUAAAGGUUAAUGACUAUUUGUUAAACCAUAUAUAAUUAAAGUACUUUCUAUUCUUUUAGGGAGAUUAAUCUAUAAGUUUUUAUUGGAAAACUUCUUACCACUGGGGAAUUUAAAAUUGUUGGAAGAUAUAUAGUAAAAUAAUCAACCAAAUAUACAUGUAUAUUUAUGUGUGUGUAUAUAUAUAUAUAUAUAUUUCUUUGUGAACAAAUUGAAUUCUAUGCUGGUUUAUAAUCUGAUGGAAUCAUGGAGGGACUAGGUGACAAUAUUAUUUGAUGUAUGGUGCAAAAUUGUGGAAAUUUUCCAAUAUAUACAUCAAGAGUAGUCCUGGAAUAAACAUAGGAGAGAAUAAUGCUAUGAGUUUAUCUUAAUAGAAAAUCAAGGAAUUUUAAACCAUUCAAGCUAGAGUUUAUGGAACAAAAGUUUUGUUGAAAAAGAAUAAAUAAAAAGCUUUUUGUUAUUUGUUUUUUUUAGGCUUUUGUUUCGAAAACGACAGUUGUUUUGCCUCAGAUCGGUUGACAGGUGAGUAUUGAGACUGUGUUUUUUUCAUGUGGUGCAGGGCGUAUGGAUACGCAUUGUAAUAUAAAAGAAGCAAAUGUGUCACGUAAUCGUUCUUUGACUUUCAGAAUUUAAAUUUUGUAUACCUUCUUUAAAACCAUAUAUGCUUAUAUGAUGGAGUUUGGAAACGAAAAAUACGAUAUAUUUAACAUGUACAUAUGCAUUCUAAAAAAUUUUAGAAUUUUUUAUUUAUUUUUUAUUUAUGGAAACAUGUAAUAAGAAAGUCCGACUAUGGUUUGUGCAGGAUAGUUAAUGUUGUCUCCAUUAAAAACUUAAUCUUGCAGUCCCAUUCCCGAGCAUUUAACAAAACUGUGAUCGCAUGUGUGUAAUAAGCAUCUUCAAUAAUGGAUUCGGAUUUGAUACAAAUGAAAGCUGGCAUGCUACGUACUAUUUCUCGAAAACCAUACAGCUUGGCCUGACCCCAACAGAAAAGAUAUUAGCUAGCUAUAUAUGCGCCAAUGCAGAUGGGUGAUGUAAGCGGUAACUUGGGUCUCUUCAGUACUCAGUAACCAAGGAUGGGGAGAAAGAAUUUGAUUCCAACCAACGACCUCGAGGGUGUGGAUGUGAGGGGCAUUAGAUAGAUUCAAUACUACAAGUUUUUUGUCAGCUGGUGCGAUGAGCAUAUACAGGAGCAUCCAUUGCUAGGUAGCACAUGAGAGAUUGUCAAUUUGAUGAGAGAAUUAGUUCUUUCCUAUAACUUGUUUAACAAUGAGAUUUGACAAAUCAUUUUAGCCUUUAAAUCUAGAUAUAUCCAAUAAUGCCUAUUGAAUAAGAAUUAUAUAUAAUUAUAGUUAAGAUUAUAUAAAACCUGUCCUUUAUUUAUUU